rnacentral:rRNA from 1 species
UGGCGGACGGGUGAGUAACGCGUGGGUAACCUGCCUCAUACAGGGGGAUAACAGUUAGAAAUGACUGCUAAUACCGCAUAAGACCACAGCACCGCAUGGUGCAGGGGUAAAAACCCCGGUGGUAUGAGAUGGACCCGCGUCUGAUUAGGUAGUUGGUGGGGUAACGGCCUACCAAGCCGACGAUCAGUAGCCGACCUGAGAGGGUGACCGGCCACAUUGGGACUGAGACACGGCCCAA